rnacentral:lncRNA from 1 species
AAUCUCACGAGGCCCUACUUCUGCGCAGUGAUGUUUGGCCUCCAUCACCGUCAAAAUCAGUGCGUAUUCGAUUUAUCAUAUCCUCUAUUCAUACAAGAAAAUAUGGAUGAUAUUUUUAUUAUGAGGCAUACCUGGAGACUGGAGUGCCACUUAUAUGAGAGGAGGUGGCAGCCUAUAACACAGCGGCGGAAUAUUCUAGGAUUUGCUUGUAACACAAGCUCUUU